rnacentral:rRNA from 1 species
AACUUAAGCAUAUCAAUAAGCGGAGGAAAAGAAACUAACAAGGAUUCCCCUAGUAACUGCGAGUGAAGCGGGAAGAGCUCAAAUUUAAAAUCUGGCGUGCCCCUGGUCGCCCGAGUUGUAGUCUGGAGAAGCGUUUUCCGUGUUGGACCGUGUAUAAGUCUCUUGGAACAGGGCGUCAUAGAGGGUGAGAAUCCCGUCUUUGACACGGACUACCAAUGCUUUGUGAUGCGCUCUCAAAGAGUCGAGUUGUUUGGGAAUGCAGCUCAAAAUGGGUGGUAAAUUCCAUCUAAAGCUAAAUAUAGGCGAGAGACCGAUAGCGAACAAGUACCGUGAGGGAAAGAUGAAAAGCACUUUGGAAAGAGAGUUAAACAGUACGUGAAAUUGCUGAAAGGGAAACGCUUGAAGUCAGUCGCAUCUGCCAGGACUCAGCCUUGCUUCUGCUUGGUGCACUUUCUGGUUUGAUGGGCCAACAUCAAUUUUGACCGUUGGAGAAAGGCUUUGGGAAUGUGGCACCUUCGGGUGUGUUAUAGCCCUUUGUCAUAUACAGCGGUUGGGAUUGAGGACUGCAGCACGCCUUUAUGGCCGGGGUUCGCCUACGUGCUUAAGAUGUUGGCAUAAUGGCUUUAAGCGACCCGUU